UUUGAGUUACGGUGCUGGUUGCGC
rnacentral:piRNA from 1 species